rnacentral:rRNA from 1 species
AUUGAACGCUGGCGGCAGGCCUAACACAUGCAAGUCGAGCGGAUGAAGGGAGCUUGCUCCUGGAUUCAGCGGCGGACGGGUGAGUAAUGCCUAGGAAUCUGCCUGGUAGUGGGGGAUAACGUCCGGAAACGGGCGCUAAUACCGCAUACGUCCUGAGGGAGAAAGUGGGGGAUCUUCGGACCUCACGCUAUCAGAUGAGCCUAGGUCGGAUUAGCUAGUUGGUGGGGUAAAGGCCUACCAAGGCGACGAUCCGUAACUGGUCUGAGAGGAUGAUCAGUCACACUGGAACUGAGACACGGUCCAGACUCCUACGGGAGGCCGCGGUGGGGAAUAUUGGACAAUGGGCGGAAGCCUGAUCCAGCCAUGGCGCGUGUGUGAAGAAGGUCUUCGGAUUGUAAAGCACUUUAAGUGGGGAGGAAGGGCAGUAAGUUGAUACCUGGCUGUUUUGACGUUACCAACAGAAUAAGCACCGGCUAACUUCGUG